rnacentral:rRNA from 1 species
GACGAACGCUGGCGGCGUGCUUAACACAUGCAAGUCGAACGGACGAGUGAGAUAAGUUUACUUAACUCACAAGUUAGUGGCGGACGGGUGAGUAACACGUGGAUAAUCUACCUGCAACACCGGGAUAACGCUGUGAAAACGGUGCUAAUACCGGAUACGUUCCCUUGUGCGCAUGUAUGAGGGAAGAAAGCUCAGGCGGUUGCAGAUGAGUCCGCGGCUGAUUAGCUAGUUGGUGAGGUAAAGGCUCACCAAGGCGAUGAUCAGUAGCCGGCCUGAGAGGGUGAACGGCCACACUGGGACUGAGACACGGCCCAGACUCCUACGGGAGGCAGCAGUGGGGAAUCUUCCGCAAUGGGCGCAAGCCUGACGGAGCAACGCCGCGUGGGUGAAGAAGGCCUUCGGGUUGUAAGCCUGUCUUAUGGGAAGAAGUCAGUGACGGUACCAUAGGAGGAAGCCACGGCUAACUACGUGCCAGCAGCCGCGGUAAUAGUACUU